AUAGUAGAAACUUUCAAAGCAAUGUCUACAAGUUUAAAUUCUUUAACCCUGUUCAAGGUGUAUACACACUCAAUAUUUAACUACAGUCCAGGUUUGCAAUUAACAAACUAUCUGAUAAACCUGUGUGUGAGUCAGAUAUGUCUGCUGCUAAUCUAUUGGUUAUAAAAUAUCACAGCCUUUUCUGAUUGGCUGAGUUCAAAUACAGAAAGUUUACCUGUUAGAUUGAAAUUUUGGCGUAUUGCAGAAAAUAUGCAGGUUAAACUUGUUGUUAAAAUGAAGUUAAUGUAAUGUUCACAAACAGUAGAGUUAAUGAGUUUUUCCAUUAACAAGAAUUUCUUAAAAUUAUAAUGUAUGGAUAUCAUUUGGAAAGUGACAUGAAAUGUUGUUAAAAAGUGAUGCAUACAAGUGUUUCAGAAGUCUGUCUAGGAAUAGAACAACAACUGAAGCUGACCAGUUGAUGGAAGAUACUGCAGAGUUUGGCAGGGAAAUAACCCAAGACAGCAAAGCGGCUCUUUUGGCGCAUUUACCAAGAGGACUAACAUGGCCACAAAUUCAUGAGAUCAUGCAGGAGCCGUACAGUAUAACAGCAGUCCAAGUUCUAUAAAAGAUCCACGACCUACUAAAGCCUAGCUAAUUAACAAAAAAGUUUUUAAAAACUGUAAUUUUAUCCCACCUGGGUACUUAUAAUUUACUAAGCUGCCUUCACAAGUUUUAGACUUGCAAUUAUAUUUUAAACUGUCACUUGGAAAGUAAUACAUGUACAUGCAUUAUGUUCUGAAUUUCUUUGAACAAUAAAAUUAUAUAAAAGUAUUUUAAUGAAAUUUAGCACCUUAAUUGCAUUAAAGUGAAAGUAGCUGAGAAAAAUAGUAUCCUUGUGCUCAUGGGCAGCUACAUAUAUUGUGACAAACAUGAAGUAGCUAAAAUAACUUAAAUUUUUCAUUUUGUUUCUUGUAUAUCGUUUGUACAGGGUUCGUGAAUUGUUACUGUAUAUUACUUGACUUGCUUGUAUUUUGUUACUUUGAAUACAUGUUGUUAAGGUUGCAUUAUACUUUUUAACUUUUAAAGUAGCGCCUGUUCUGUUAUGUAAGGGCCUGAUUUAUGAUAAUGGACCUAGAGGCUUUGUAAGCAUGUAUUAAACAACACUUGUUUGAUCUGAAUAAUUUGUUAAAUAAAUGUAACACAAUUUGUAAUCUGAUGUUAUAUUUUGAUGAAUUGUGAACAAAAUAAUACAUCGAAGAAACUAA